AAUGAACGCUGGCGGCAGGCCUAACACAUGCAAGUCGAACGGAUCCUUCGGGAUUAGUGGCGGACGGGUGAGUAACGCGUGGGAACAUACCCAAAGGUACGGAAUAGCCUCGGGAAACUGGGAGUAAUACCGUAUGUGCUCGAAAGAGGAAAGAUUUAUCGCCAAAGGAUUGGCCCGCGUUGGAUCAGGUAGUUGGUGGGGUAAUGGCCUACCAAGCCGACGAUCCAUAGCUGGUUUGAGAGGAUGAUCAGCCACACUGGGACUGAGACACGGCCCAGACUCCUACGGGAGGCAGCAGUGGGGAAUCUUAGACAAUGGGGGAAACCCUGAUCUAGCCAUGCCGCGUGAUCGAUGAAGGCCUUAGGGUUGUAAAGAUCUUUCAGGUGGGAAGAUAAUGACUGUACCACCAGAAGAAGCCCCGGCUAACUCCGUGCCAGCAGCCGCCGUAA
rnacentral:rRNA from 1 species